CUUACUUUGAUUAGACAUAGUACUAGAGCCGAUUUACGCAAUCGAAUACCGCCGGAAGUAGAACAUUUAUGUCGACACCGGUUUCGUAUUUCACGUGAAAUCGGCCGAAAACUGAGAGGUUAUCAACAAAUUAUAAGUUUACGGGUACCAUGAGGAUUUUUCAUGCAUUUAAACGACAGAAGUACAAGCGAACAGAUGACACAUUAAAGUGGCUGCAGAAGCUUGAAAAGUUAGAUAGAGCAGGGACAGUCAAAACUGUGGGAUAAUACUUCUAUGGUGUCCAACAUGUUUAGUCAGGUUGACAGAAGUGAAAGAUGGUCUGAUGGUACAAUGAUGUACAAAUGAUACUCUUUAACAAGUUUAACAUGUCAAAGUGUAAAAUGUUCUGUGGAUUCAUAUGAUGAGAAUGCCAAUGUUGAUCUGUAUGACUUAAUUAAACACAGAUAUUGAUACAUUCAGAUAUAUACCUGUGAAAUCUUCAGUGUCACCGUUCAGCUAUUGUUCAAGAUCAGUGUCUGUAGCUUGCACAGUUUAGUAUAGAGGAGCCUUCUGAAUCAAUUUUGUUACAUAUUUGCUGUUAUUGUAGGACGCACAUGUAGAGAGCAACAAGUCCUGUCCAACUGUGCAUGUAAAUAUGAUUCAGAAACUUUGAGAAUAUGUAAACACUACACUGUUAUAAUUUUCAAAAUACUGUGUCUUGUAGUGUAUCAGUUCUGUUUUGUCUCAGUUUAUAGCACAGUAUGUUCACAAAUCAAACUUAAGAUCAUAGAUAUCAGUAUUAUUAAAAUCAUUAAUUAUUUGUAUGGUGACAAAAUUUAAUUUCAUGCAAUACCACAGUGAAACGUUUGAUAAUUUUUUUUUUUAAGUUGUAAGUUUAAAGUUGGCAUCAAUUGUUUUUCUCCUUCAUAAAUCUAAAAAGUGAUUGGUCAUUAUAUUUGCAAUAUCAUUUUAGUGUGACAAAGAUUAUAUUUAACUGAAACGCUAAUGUAAAUUUUUGAACUAUUCAAUGCAUUUUCUUAAGUCUUAAAACAUUUGUUUAUCGUACAUGUCAGGGCCAAUAACUCCUCCAUAUUACUUGUGUUUUGUCCUUUUUCAUUUCACUGAAGGAUAGGUAGAGGUAUUGCACAUCCAUUUUUUAGCAUCCUGAUUUUAUAAAGUGUUGUAUGUAAGGUUUUAUCUCGGAAUUAUGUCUCGUCUAAAGGUGGGGAGAGGUAUUGUUUAUGCCUUCUCGUCUGUCCGCAUUAAGCCUGUCUGACUUUAAGAGGACAAGUUGCUGGCCAGAUUUUGAUAAAACUUCACAGGAAUGAUCAGUACCAAGCAUAGUGUUGUGCAUAUCGAUUGCAUGUUUCGUUUCGAUGCACUAAAUUGCAGCCAGAGCUAAAAAUAGAAAAAUCUUGUCAGCUUUCACAGGUCAAAACUACUUAACAGAUUUUGAUGAAACUUUACAGGAGUGAUCAGUACCAAGUAUAUUUUUGCAUAUCACCGACACUUUCCAUUUUGCUAAUUUGCUGCACAAAAUAGCCGCCAUAGCAUAAAGGUAUACAUUGGUGGGAGACAUGUUUUGUCAUAAAAAUACCUAAAACACCUUCCACUUUGUUAAAGAAAAUUGUAUUAAACUUCUUACAAUUGCAAACUGUAAUAAUUUGACAUUAAAUGCACUAGUUACAUAAUUGCAUUUGGCUUUUUUUCGUAAUUAUUGCCCUUUUCUUACCAUAGCAAUAUUUUGUGUAACAUGUUACCUCAUUAAGCAUCAUAAGAUCAGAAAGUUCUAUGACUCAGAAAUGUUGGCCCUUUUGUACUUGUCAUGAGUAUGUUUUCAGUAUUUUAUAUUGUCAUUACUUUUUGUUGUGCGAGUUUAAGGAAAUGAAGACUUAGUUGUCCAAAUGGUGUGCCUGUGCCUGUCCUGAUUUGUUUGUCUGGACAAUAUAUUAUUGAUUAGUCUUCACGAAACUUCCCUGUCAGCUUUGAUAGUGGCAUGGUUACUUUAAAAGUGAUGUCACCACUGUACUAGUCAAAAGUUUUGUAUUUCAGAUUUUAUAUCACAUUACAGGCUACUGGUCUUUAGCAGCCUUCAUAAAACUUAUAAAAAACUCAUAAAAGUUUCCAAAAAUGCUGUAUUUUGAUUUGAACUGGCAUUAUUCAAACAUUAAGAAGUAGUACUAUAAGGCAACAUUUGACCUCUUUUCCAAUACUUUUUGAUUUUCUCUGUUACUAUGAAGUUGCAUUUUCCUAGAAAUUGGUUGGCUUAUUUUUUUAUGAUCUUAUGUUUUUAAUGAAUUGUAGCUAUAUGUUCUUUUUCUCAUGAAAAUGUCCAUUUUUAUAUAAUUCAUAUUUGUUACUGUCAACAAAGUGCAAUACCACAUACUUAUCACUUCCAUUAACAUACUUGUACUAUUUUCAUAAAACAUUAUAUAAAUCAUUAUAUUUCAUAUAAACAGAAUUAAAUAAAUAUUUAAGAACAUCA